GACGAACGCUGGCGGCGCGCCUAACACAUGCAAGUCGAACGAGAGAGGAAGAGCUUGCUUUUCCGAUCGAGUGGCGAACGGGUGAGUAACGCGUGAGGAACCUGCCUCAAAGAGGGGGACAACAGUUGGAAACGACUGCUAAUACCGCAUAAGCCCACAGCUCGGCAUCGAGCAGAGGGAAAAGGAGCAAUCCGCUUUGAGAUGGCCUCGCGUCCGAUUAGCUAGUUGGUGAGGUAAUGGCCCACCAAGGCGACGAUCGGUAGCCGGACUGAGAGGUUGAACGGCCACAUUGGGACUGAGACACGGCCCAGACUCCUACGGGAGGCAGCAGUGGGGAAUAUUGCACAAUGGGGGAAACCCUGAUGCAGCGACGCCGCGUGGAGGAAGAAGGUCUUCGGAUUGUAAACUCCUGUUGUUGAGGAAGAUAAUGACGGUACUCAACAAGGAAGUGACGGCUAACUACGUGCCAGCCGCCGCAGUAA
rnacentral:rRNA from 1 species